rnacentral:rRNA from 1 species
CCUACGGGCGGCAGCAGUGAGGAAUAUUGGUCAAUGGGCGGAAGCCUGAACCAGCCAAGUAGCGUGCAGGAUGACGGCCCUACGGGUUGUAAACUGCUUUUAUACGGGAAUAACGCGCCUUACGUGUAGUGCUUUGCAUGUACCGUAUGAAUAAGGACCGGCUAAUUCCGUGCCCGCAGCCGCGGUAAUACGGAAGGUCCGGGCGUUAUCCGGGUUUAUUGGGUUUAAAGGGAGCGUAGGGCGCAUUUCCAGCGUGCUGUGAAAUGUUCGGGCUCAACCCGGGCCUUGCCGUGCGAACUGGCGUGCUUGAGUCCGCGGAAAGCAUGCGGAAUUCGUCGUGUAGCGGUGAAAUGCUUAGAUAUGACGAAGAACCCCGAUUGCGAAGGCAGCUUGCUGCAGCGGAACUGACGCUGAUGCUCGAAAGCGCGGGUAUCGAACAGGAUUAGAUACCCCAGUAGUC